UACGUAGGUGGCAAGCGUUGUCCGGAUUUACUGGGCGUAAAGAGCGCGCAGGCGGUCGUCCAAGUCGCGUGUGAAAGCCCCCGGCUCAACUGGGGAGGGUCACGCGAUACUGAUCGACUCGAAGGCAGGAGAGGGAAGUGGAAUUCCCGGUGUAGUGGUGAAAUGCGUAGAUAUCGGGAGGAACACCAGUGGCGAAGGCGACUACCUGGCCUGUUCUUGACGCUGAGGCGCGAAAGCUAGGGGAGCAAACGGG
rnacentral:rRNA from 1 species